rnacentral:rRNA from 1 species
UUCCGGUUGAUCCUGCCGGACCCGACUGCUAUCGGAUUGGGACUAAGCCAUGCGAGUCGACCUCGUAAGAGGUGGCGCACGGCUCAGUAACACGUAGUCAACCUACCCUGGGGACGGGGAUGACCCCGGGAAACUGGGGAUAAACCUCGAUAGGCCAUAGCUUCUGGAAUGGGCUAUGGCUCAAAUCUAUACGGCCCCAGGAUGGGACUGCGCCCGAUCAGGUUGUUGGUGGGGUAAUGGCCCACCAAGCCUAUAACCGGUACGGGCUCUGAGAGGGGGAGCCCGGAGAUGGGCACUGAGACAAGGGCCCAGGUCCUAUGGGACGCAGCAGGCGCGAAACCUCCGCAAUGGGCGAAAGCCCGACGGGGUCAGUCCGAGUGGCUCCCGCUAUGGGAGUCUUUUGCCAGCUGUAAAAAGGCUGGCGAAUAAGGGGUGGGCAAGUCUGGUGUCAGCCGCCGCGGUAAUACCAGCACCCCGAGUGGUCGGGACGAUUAUUGGGCCUAAAGCAUCCGUAGCCGGUGUAGCAAGUCCUCCGUUAAAUCCACCUGCUCAACAGGUGGGCUGCGGAGGAUACUGCUACACUAGGGGGCGGGAGAGGCGAGGGGUAUUCCACGGGUAGGGGUAAAAUCCUCUGAUCCGUGGAGGACCACCAGUGGCGAAGGCGCCUCGCCAGAACGCGCCCGACGGUGAGGGAUGAAAGCUGGGGGAGCAAACCGGAUUUAGAUACCCGGGUAGUCCCAGCUGUAAACGAUGUAGCUCGGUGAUGGACUGGCUCCGGGCCA